CAAUAGCGUAUAUUAAAGUUGUUGCAGUUAAAAAGCUCGUAGUUGGAUUUCUGAGAGGAUGCCAAUGUCCUUCUGUGUAAGUGUGCAGCGGCGUCUUUUCAUCCUUCUGUUAACACCUCUUGGCAUUCGUUUGCUGGUGGUGGGCUCAGAUAUUUUACCUUGAGAAAAUUAGAGUGUUUCAGGCAGGCUAGGCCGGAAUACAUUAGCAUGGAAUAAUGGAAUAGGACUACGGUCUCUUUGUUGGUUUGAGGGACUGCAGUAAUGAUUAAUAGGGAUAGUUGGGGGCAUUAGUAUUUAAUUGUCAGAGGUGGAAUUCUCGGAUUUGUUAAAGACUAACUUAUGCGAAAGCAUUUGCCAAGGAUGUUUNCAUUA
rnacentral:rRNA from 1 species